GACGAACGCUGGCGGCGUGCUUAACACAUGCAAGUCGAACGGAAAGGCCUCUUUCGGGGGGUACUCGAGUGGCGAACGGGUGAGUAACACGUGAGUAACCUGCCCUUGACUUUGGGAUAACUUCAGGAAACUGGGGCUAAUACCGGAUAGGAGCUCCUGCUGCAUGGUGGGGGUUGGAAAGUUUCGGCGGUUGGGGAUGGACUCGCGGCUUAUCAGCUUGUUGGUGGGGUAGUGGCUUACCAAGGCUUUGACGGGUAGCCGGCCUGAGAGGGUGACCGGCCACAUUGGGACUGAGAUACGGCCCAGACUCCUACGGGAGGCAGCAGUGGGGAAUAUUGCACAAUGGGUGGAAGCCUGAUGCAGCAACGCCGUGUGCGGGAGGACGGCCUUCGGGUUGUAAACCGCUUUCGCUCAUGAUGAAGCUUUGUGUGACGGUAGUGGGUAAAGAAGCACCGGCUAACUACGUG
rnacentral:rRNA from 1 species